AUGAAAAGUGUUUGUUUUGGCGUGUUUGAACGUUUUUGAGCAUGUGUAAUGGCAUGAAUGCGUUAAGCUGUUGUUUUAGUGUUCUUUUGAUGAGUUUGGCUUGUUGUUAUGAAAAGUGUUUGUUUUGGCGAGUUUGAACGUUUUUGAGCAUAUGUAAUGGCAUGAAUGUAUUAAGCUGUUGUUUUAGUGUUCUUUUGAUGAGUUUGGAUUGUUGUUAUGAACAUUGUUCGUUUUGAUCAGUUUGAAGGUGUUUUUAGCAUGUGUAAUGGCAUGAAUGUGUUGAAUUAGUAAUCCCAUGUGUAAAGCAGUUGUUUUAGUGUUCUUUUGAUGAGUUUGGCUUGUUGUUGUGAAAAGAGUUUGUUUUGGCGAGUUUGAACGUUUUUGAGCAUGUGUAAUGGCAUGAAUGUGUUGAAUUAGUAAUCCCUUGUGUUUAGCUGUUGUUUUAGUGUUCUUUUGAUGAGUUUGGCUUGUUAUGAAAAGUUUUUGUUUUGGCCAGUUUGAACGUUUUUUAGCAUGUGUAAUGGCAUGAAUGCGUUAAGCUGUUGUUUUAGUGUUCUUUUGAUGAGUUUGGCUUGUUGUUAUGAAAAGUGUUUGUUUUGGCGAGUUUGAACGUUUUUGAGCAUAUGUAAUGGCAUGAAUGCAUUAA